rnacentral:lncRNA from 1 species
GUGCUCUCAGGAGCUCCUGAGCUGUUUUCGAUGGAGUUUCCAAACCGACGAUCGACUCCGUUAAAUUUGAUCUAGCGUAUUUGAAGUUUCUAGAAAAUAAUUUUUGACAUUUUUGGAUAUCAUUUACCUAGCAAUCGAAAUGAUUCAAAAUCAAUAAAUUUUAAUGGCUGAAAAUAAAAAUUCUAUAAAAAGUGGUGAUAUAUUACUAAAAUUUUCGAUCAGAAAUAUUGAUCUUAUUGUAGAUAGUAUAAAGAAUUUUGUAUCAAAAUUUUAUUUGAUUUGAAUACUUCUACACCGUUAAACUUGAAAACGGCAGAUAUCAACCAUUAAAAAUUAUGGAUUUUGAAUCCUUUCGAUCACUAGGUAAAUGAUAUCAAAAAAUCGUAAAAAUUAUUUUCUAGAAACUUCAAAUGCACUAGAUCAAGUCUAACGGAGCCGAUCGUCGAUUCGAAAAUUUCAUCAUCGAAAAUGGCUCAGGAGCAUGGAGGCUUCCGUGCUCCUGAGAGCACAGGAGCCCUGCUCCAUAUCCCUAUAAAUAUUAGUGAAUAAUAAAUAUAUUCUUAUAAAAUUCAACUUUCGUAUAUUGUCCCUACAAAUAUCCUGAUAUUUCCAAAUAUAUCACUUUGAUUUGCUACCGUUAAAGAACCGUUAGAAAACUGUUUAUUUUUCAAUUUGCAAUCAUAAAUAUGUCCCUCCAAAAGACAUAAUAACAAGAGGGAUAAAAUUAUCAAAAAAUAAUCAUAAUUAAGUAUUUAAUUUUGGUCAAAUAAAUUUUUCUAACGGAUUCUAACGAUAAGGAUAUAUUUAAAAAUAUCAGGAUUUUGUAGGGACAAUAUAUGAUAAUUGAAAUUUGUAGCGAUAUUUUGCCAUUCACUAUAUUUGUAGGAACCAGUAUGAAAUUAACCCUUGAAUAUAAUACUUAACUGCUAUAAUUUGAAAAUUUUUAAAAUUAUAUAAAUUAAAAUUUAAGAAUAAAAAAACAAUUUAGCCAAAUUAAAAUUU